rnacentral:rRNA from 1 species
AUACAUAGGUUAACGAGGCGAACCGGGGGAACUGAAACAUCUAAGUACCCCGAGGAAAAGAAAUCAACCGAGAUUCCCCCAGUAGCGGCGAGCGAACGGGGAGCAGCCCGGAGUCUGAAUCAGCUUGUGUGUUAGUGGAACGGUCUGGAAAGUCCGACGGUACAGGGUGAUAGUCCCGUACACGAAAGCACACUUGCUGUGAACUCGAAGAGUAGGGCGGGACACGUGGUAUCCUGUCUGAAUAUGGGGGGACCAUCCUCCAAGGCUAAAUACUCCUGACUGACCGAUAGUGAACCAGUACCGUGAGGGAAAGGCGAAAAGAACCCCGGCGAGGGGAGUGAAAAAGAACCUGAAACCGUGUACGUACAAGCAGUGGGAGCCUCUUUAUGGGGUGACUGCGUACCUUUUGUAUAAUGGGUCAGCGACUUAUAUUCUGUAGCAAGGUUAACCGUAUAGGGGAGCCGAAGGGAAACCGAGUCUUAACUGGGCGUUAAGUUGCAGGGUAUAGACCCGAAACCCGGUGAUCUAGCCAUGGGCAGGUUGAAGGUUGGGUAACACUAACUGGAGGACCGAACCGACUAAUGUUGAAAAAUUAGCGGAUGACCUGUGGCUGGGGGUGAAAGGCCAAUCAAACCGGGAGAUAGCUGGUUCUCCCCGAAAGCUAUUUAGGUAGCGCCUCGUGAACUCAUCUUCGGGGGUAGAGCACUGUUUCGGCUAGGGGGCCAUCCCGGCUUACCAACCCGAUGCAAACUACGAAUACCGAAGAAUGUUAUCACGGGAGACACACGGCGGGUGCUAACGUCCGUCGUGAAGAGGGAAACAACCCAGACCGCCAGCUAAGGUCCCAAAGUCAUGGUUAAGUGGGAAACGAUGUGGGAAGGCACAGACAGCCAGGAUGUUGGCUUAGAAGCAGCCAUCAUUUAAAGAAAGCGUAAUAGCUCACUGGUCGAGUCGGCCUGCGCGGAAGAUGUAACGGGGCUAAACCAUGCACCG